UACGUAGGGGGCGAGCGUUGUCCGGAUUUAUUGGGCGUAAAGAGCGUGUAGGCGGCCAGGUAGGUCUGCUGUGAAAACUCGAGGCUCAACCUCGAGACGUCGGCGGAAACCAUCUGGCUAGAGUCCGGAAGAGGAGAGUGGAAGUUCCUGGUGUAGCGGUGAAAUGCGCAGAUAUCAGGAAGAACACCCGUGGCGAAGGCGGCUCUCUGGGACGGUACUGACGCUGAGACGCGAAAGCGUGGGGAGCGAACAGG
rnacentral:rRNA from 1 species